CUACAAGAAAAUAGUGGUAGGAAAUGACUACAAACAGCAGCCUCCUUGGGAGUGGCAUGUACCCGGUUGCCAAUAUGGUUGUCCUAAGGGACCUUGGAAACAAUU
rnacentral:snoRNA from 1 species